GACGAACGCUGGCGGCGUGCCUAAUACAUGCAAGUCGUGCGGACUUAACAAGUUGGCUUUAUAAGUUAGCGGAGGACGGGUGAGUAACGCGUGUGCACCGUGCCUGUCAGACUGGGAUAACUUCGGGACACCGGAGCUAAUACCGGAUAAGCCUUUGCUGCUCGUGUAGAAAUGCUGAAAGACGGUGUUCGCUGUCGCUUACAGAGGGGCUCGCGGCGCAUUAGGUGGUUGGUGCGGUAACGGCGCAGCCAGGCGGCGAUGCGUAGCCGACGUGCGAGGGUGAAGGCCGACACUGGGACUGAGACGCGGCCCAGACACCGACGGACGGCAGCGGUAGGGAAUCUUCCGAAAUGGACGGAAGACUGACGGAGCAACGCCGCGUGAGUGAUGCAGGUUUUCGGAUCGUAAAACUCUGUUGUUAGGGAAGAACGAGUACGGGAGUAACUGCUCGUACCUUGACGGUACCUAAACAGAAAGCAACGGCUAACUACGUG
rnacentral:rRNA from 1 species